GCUGCUCAUGACCUCAUUAUUCUUUAUUGCAGAGCCAGCUAACCACGUGGCUACAGAGAGUCAGAGACUCAACAGUUGGUUCCCAUAAAUUGCAUCCAUAGAUAAAGGAUGCAGCAACAGUCAACUGGCCCCUCCAAAACAGUAAGCCAAGUAGUGGUGAGUGACGAGAAAUGCGACAACAAAACGCCAAUGCGAGAUAUAGACAGGACAGGACCAUUGCGGUUCCCAGGUAAUUUAAUGAGACGCGUCGUCUUGCGCCC
rnacentral:misc_RNA from 1 species